AGUGAACGCUGGCGGUAGGCCUAACACAUGCAAGUCGAACGGCAGCACAGGAGAGCUUGCUCUCUGGGUGGCGAGUGGCGGACGGGUGAGGAAUACAUCGGAAUCUACCUUUUCGUGGGGGAUAACGUAGGGAAACUUACGCUAAUACCGCAUACGACCUACGGGUGAAAGUGGGGGACCGCAAGGCCUCACGCGAUUAGAUGAGCCGAUGUCCGAUUAGCUAGUUGGCGGGGUAAUGGCCCACCAAGGCGACGAUCGGUCGCUGGUCUGAGCGGAUGAUCAGCCACACGGGUACUGAAACACGGUCCAGAGUCCUACGGGGGGCAGCAGUGGGGAAUAAUGUACAAUGGGCGCAAGCCUGAUCCAGCCAUACCGCGUGGGUGAAGAAGGCCUUCGGGUUGUAAAGCCAUUUUGUUGGGAAAGAAAACCUAUCGGUUAAUAACCGGUGGGGAUGACGGUACCCAAAGAAUAAGCACCGGCUAACUUCGUGCCAGCCGCCGCUGUAAGAC
rnacentral:rRNA from 1 species